rnacentral:rRNA from 1 species
CAGAGGCUGGGCGGCAGGCUACACAUGCAAGUCGAGCGGUAGAGAGAAGCUUGCUUCUCUUGAGAGCGGCGGACGGGUGAGUAAUGCCUAGGAAUCUGCCUGGUAGUGGGGGAUAACGUUCGGAAACGAACGCUAAUACCGCAUACGUCCUACGGGAGAAAGCAGGGGACCUUCGGGCCUUGCGCUAUCAGAUGAGCCUAGGUCGGAUUAGCUAGUUGGUGAGGUAAUGGCUCACCAAGGCGACGAUCCGUAACUGGUCUGAGAGGAUGAUCAGUCACACUGGAACUGAGACACGGUCCAGACUCCUACGGGAGGCAGCAGUGGGGAAUAUUGGACAAUGGGCGAAAGCCUGAUCCAGCCAUGCCGCGUGUGUGAAGAAGGUCUUCGGAUUGUAAAGCACUUUAAGUUGGGAGGAAGGGCAUUAACCUAAUACGUUAGUGUUUUGACGUUACCGACAGAAUAAGCACCGGCUAACUCUGUGCCAGCAGCCGCGGUAAUACAGAGGGUGCAAGCGUUAAUCGGAAUUACUGGGCGUAAGGCGCGCGUAGGUGGUUUGUUAAGUUGGAUGUGAAAUCCCCGGGCUCAACCUGGGAACUGCAUUCAAAACUGACUGACUAGAGUAUGGUAGAGGGUGGUGGAAUUUCCUGUGUAGCGGUGAAAUGCGUAGAUAUAGGAAGGAACACCAGUGGCGAAGGCGACCACCUGGACUAAUACUGACACUGAGGUGCGAAAGCGUGGGGAGCAAACAGGAUUAGAUACCCUGGUAGUCCACGCCGUAACGAUGUCAACUAGCCGUUGGAAGCCUUGAGCUUUUAGUGGCGCAGCUAACGCAUUAUGUUGACCGCCUGGGGAGUACGGCCGCAGGGUAAAACUCAAUGAAUUGACGAAGGGCG